AGAGUUUGAUCCUGGCUCAGGACGAACGCUGGCGGCGUGCCUAACACAUGCAAGUCGAGCGAGGUAUUUAUACCUAGCGGCGGACGGGUGAGUAACACGUGGGUAACCUGCCUCAAAGUGGGGAAUAGCCUUCCGAAAGGGAGAUUAAUACCGCAUAAUGUACACAUUUAGCAUUAUCAGUGUACCAAAGGAGAAAUCCGCUUUGAGAUGGGCCUGCGGCGCAUUAGCUAGUUGGUGGGGUAACGGCUCACCAAGGCCACGAUGCGUAGCCGACCUGAGAGGGUGGUCGGCCACAUUGGAACUGAGACACGGUCCAGACUCCUACGGGAGGCAGCAGUGGGGAAUAUUGCACAAUGGAGGAAACUCUGAUGCAGCAACGCCGCGUGAAUGAUGGAGGCCUUCGGGUCGUAAAGUUCUUUGAUUGGGGACGAUAAUGACGGUACCCAAAAAACAAGCCACGGCUAACUACGUGCCAGCAGCCGCGGUAAUACGUAGGUGGCGAGCGUUGUCCGGAUUUACUGGGCGUAAAGGAUGCGUAGGUGGAAAUUUAAGUGGGAUGUGAAAUCCCCCGGGCUCAACCCGGGAACUGCAUUCCAAACUGGAUUUCUUGAGUACAGGAGAGGAAAGCGGAAUUCCUAGUGUAGCGGUGAAAUGCGUAGAUAUUAGGAGGAACACCAGUGGCGAAGGCGGCUUUCUGGACUGUAACUGACACUGAGGCAUGAAAGCGUGGGUAGCAAACAGGAUUAGAUACCCUGGUAGUCCACGCCGUAAACGAUGAGUGCUAGGUGUCGGGAGUCAAAUCUCGGUGCCGUAGUUAACGCAAUAAGCACUCCGCCUGGGGAGUACGUGCGCAAGCAUGAAACUCAAAGGAAUUGACGGGGACCCGCACAAGCAGCGGAGCAUGUGGUUUAAUUCGAAGCAACGCGAAGAACCUUACCAGGACUUGACAUACUAGUGCCAAAUGUAGAGAUACAUUAUUUCUUCGGAACACUAAUACAGGUGGUGCAUGGUUGUCGUCAGCUCGUGUCGUGAGAUGUUGGGUUAAGUCCCGCAACGAGCGCAACCCCUAUGUUUAUUUGCCAGCAUUUCGGAUGGGAACUAUAGACAGACUGCCGAUAAGAAAUCGGAGGAAGGUGGGGAUGACGUCAAAUCAUCAUGCCCUAUAUGUCCUGGGCUACACACGUGCUACAAUGGUCGUUACAGAGAGCAGCUACACAGUGAUGUCACGCGAAUCUCAAAAAGGCGAUCUCAGUUCGGAUUGUACUCUGCAACUCGAGUACAUGAAGUCGGAGUUGCUAGUAAUCGCAAAUCAGAAUGUUGCGGUGAAAAAGUUCCCGGGUCUUGUACACACCGCCCGUCA
rnacentral:rRNA from 1 species